UUUGGAGAAUCUCCAGGAGAUGAAGUUGUGAAGUCAGACACUUGAAUGUUUACACAGUUAUCAAACUUGAGGUGGGUCUGAGGGCUGUUCUGUAUGGUUAUUCCAUUAACCAUUACACCGUUACUCCCGUAGAAUCUCAACGCCUACAUACCAGCCAAGGAAGGAGACAGGUCCAACAAGGAACGUAGAACCGGAUGGAACUAAUAAUGUCGAUGCUGCCACUUUACAAGCUUCAUUCCAAGCAUCUUCAAAAGCCUGCAAUAUCAAAGUCGAGGACAUUGAACGUUCCGGAACUUCCCCCUUCAGCGAUAGACCUAUGGUUUGCUCUCCAGUAUACACUGUGUCUAGCGUCACAAGAGAUUAAAAGGAGAAGUUUCAGGGCAAGACAUUUCAAGGUACUGAGCUGGUCUUGGUAAGCUCUUCGGUUAACACAAAAACGAAAAUCUAUUUAUCAGGCAAAGGAGUUUGAGUCAAGAAAAGUUGCCAUACAAUCACAGGCAUGUCACGUAAACCUCAUCAUCAUAAGAUAAUCUUUUUUAUUUUGAGUUCCUUAAAUUAAGCAGCGUAAUUUAGGUUAAAUCUGUGGUGUUCAUUGAAUCUUCUCAAAUGCUAUAUAAAAUCUAUUUAUCAUUUUUUCUUCGAACUCAUGAACAUUCAAAGGUCCAUAUUAGUUGCAUUGCAUGAGAAUAGGAUGCUCAGUACGGUUUGAUUAUGGUAUAUUAGUAAGAUUCAAAGUUAUGUAUUGAACUCGUGAUGAAGAUACACUUUGC